rnacentral:rRNA from 1 species
GUCUUAUUGAUUAUAAUUUUAAGUCUAAUCUGCCCAAUGAGUAAUUAAAUGGCUGCAGUAUUUUAACUGUACAAAGGUAGCAUAAUAAUUAGUUUCUUAAUUAGGAACUGGAAUGAAUGAUUGGACGAAAUAGUGACUGUCUUAGUUUAAAUUUUAGAAUUUUAUUUUUGAGUUAAAAAGCUUAAAUUUUUUUAAAAGACGAGAAGACCCUAUAGAAUUUUAUACUAUUUGAAUAUUUUGUUAUUAGGGUUUUAAUAUAGAAUUUUUUAAUUAGUAUUUAGUUGGGGUGAUUGAAAAAUUUAAUAAACUUUUUUUUAUUAUUAACAUUAAUAUAUGAUUAUAUGAUCCAGUUUUUCUGAUUAUAAGAUUAAAUUACCUUAGGGAUAACAGCGUAAUUUUUUUAGAGAGUUCUAAUCGAUAAAAGAGAUUGCGACCUCGAUGUUGGAUUAAAGUUUAUUUUUAAUGUAGGAGUUAAAAUAUUAGGUCUGUUCGACCUUUAAAACUUUACAUGAUCUGAGUUUAAACCGGUGUGAGCCAGGUUGGAUUCUAUCUUUAAUUAAAUUAAAUAUUUUAGUACGAAAGGACCAAGUAUUUGUUAUAGUAAUUUUAUUAGAA